ensembl:snoRNA
AUCCUUUUGUAGUUUAUAAGCGUGAUGAUUGGGUGUUCAUGUCUAUGCAUGAGAUGUGCCUACCUCAAACCUUGUUGUGAUGUUGGCACACUUCCCAUCUGAUG